GGAAGGCACCAAGACUGGCGGCAUGGCUUUACACCCAAACCAUCUUGGUGCUUCAUGACAGCCAGAUCCCUCACCUCACUGCCCGAGAUGGCAGCCACAUGAGACAGGCCCUGGAAAUAACAGGGGACUGUCUCAAAGCCAGGGUGGAAAGAGCCGGAUUGGACACUCAGCAAAUGACACCAUGAGGACAUGGCUGGUGGUGCAGGCAUCUU
rnacentral:lncRNA from 10 species